CAGACCUAACAUUUUUAGCUUCUACACCAAAAAUUAAAUUUAAUCCAACAUCGAGGUCGCAAUCUUUAUUUUCGAUACGAACUCUCAAAUAAUAUUACGCUGUUAUCCCUAAGGUAAUUUAAUCUUAUAAUUACUAAAUAUAGAUCAAAAUAUACAUAAAUUUAUGAAUCAAAAUAUAAAAAAGUUAAAUUAAUUUUUUAAUCACCCCAAUCAAAUAUCAAAAAAAAAUUAAAAUUUUUUAUACUAAAAAAAAAUUAAAUUCUCUAAAUAUUAAACUCUAUAGGGUCUUCUCGUCUUUUAAAAAAAUUUUAGCUUUUUAACUAAAAAAUAAAUUUCUAAUUAUUUAAUUAGAGACAGAAAUUUUUUUAUCCAACCAUUCAUUCCAGCUUCUAAUUAAGAAACUAAUGAUUAUGCUACCUUAGCACGGUCAAAAUACCGCGGCCAUUCAAAUACUCAGAGGGCAGGCUA
rnacentral:rRNA from 1 species